rnacentral:rRNA from 1 species
UACGUGGGGUGCAAGCGUUGUCCGGAAUUAUUGGGCGUAAAGAGCUCGUAGGCGGUCUGUCGCGUCUGCUGUGAAAAUCCAGGGCUCAACCCUGGACCUGCAGUGGGUACGGGCAGACUAGAGUGCGGUAGGGGAGAUCGGAAUUCCUGGUGUAGCGGUGAAAUGCGCAGAUAUCAGGAGGAACACCGGUGGCGAAGGCGGUUCUCUGGGCAUGUCCUGACGCUGAGGAGCGAAAGUGUGGGGAGCGAACAGG